rnacentral:rRNA from 1 species
CGUGUAGGCGGCCUUGUAAGCCUGGUGUUAAAUUUCCUGACUUAACCAGGAGCGAGCGCUGGGAACUGCAAGGCUAGAGUUCAGGAGGGGAAGCUGGAAUUCCAGGUGUAGGGGUGAAAUCUGUAGAUAUCUGGAAGAACACCGGUGGCGAAGGCGAGCUUCUAGCCAUGGACUGACGCUGAGGCGCGAAAGCGUGGGGAGCGAACAGGAUUAGAUACCCUGGUAGUCC